AUUAUGACACAACUUGUAGGCUAGUUCAGAGCCACUCUGGUGCAAGAUGUCUAGCAUGCCAGCCUUGGAGGACUGAUCCUGGGGCUGUGGCAACUGAGACUGUGCUGAGUCUGCCUUUGUCUCUUCUACCUCUUCCACAGGGAGCCUGGUGUCACCCCCACCACAAAUUCUAAAAGGCUUCUUGGGCCUUGGAGGCGUGCUUGGGAGCCGAGUUCUCCUUAACUUGGGAGCAUUUGUGGGCAAGCUCUUCAGACCUUUGGUAUUAAAGAAGUCUAUGUAAUCCACAAAGUGAAGGAUGCAGUCCAGCAGAGACCGCUGUUCCCGAAAGAGGCUUGACACCUUGCUGGUGACUAUGUCUAGGCUGUCCAUGUAGGUGUUACAUGCAUGCAGGCCCUUCCUCACAUGUAUGUACCACAGCAGUUCACAGGAGAACCAAUGGGCCUGGAGGAAACUGAAGAGUUCCUCAUCUAGUAGGACUUGGGACAUCUCACAGAGAUUUUUUAGGCUUGCAUCAGAAGAGACAAACACAGCUUCCCGCAGAGCUUCUUUCAUGAGCCUUUUAAAAGACGCAUUUACUGAACUCUGGUGUAACUUCUUCUCCAAGAGACGAGUGGUGUGGUAGAUAGAGAGGAGAGUGCGGGCAGAGGGGAAGAUCUCCUGUAAGAUCGCUCGGUGAGGGAAUGAAGGGUCCACAAAGACCAUCUUGACCUUGGGCCAAUCAGAGUUGAAUUCUGUAAAGAUAUUGAGCAUCUUGGCCACAGAAGGCGCUGUCUCAGCCUUGAGCACAGCGAAGUGCACCACUCGACUCUCUCGCUCCUUGUUCUCCACCAAGAAAGCAUACAGAAUAUGGCCCUGGCUGUUUUCCACCCGGUGCAGCAAGAGUGUCUCUGGGAAUCGGGCGAACAGGUCACUCAUCUUGCUGCUCUGGAAGCUGAGUCGGUCUAGGUCUUGGCUGGUGCCCACACUGAAGGAGGCCAUUGAGCCCUCGUCCACGGUAAGAAAGUUCUUCAUCACUUUUGCUAUCUUGGCCAUAUCAGAAGGACUGAUGCCCUCCUGUUCUGGAUUUGAGGGCUUGUGUAUCUUAUCGAGGCAAAAUGACGGCUCUACUGAGGGCUUCUCUGCUGUAUCAAGGUCUUUCCUGAUGCUGAGCUGCACCGGCGGGAGUUUGUGUAGACAUAUUGCCUGAGGCUUGCUAGCAGGGAUUCCUCCAGAAGCAUUAGAGUCAGCAUGAAUGUGCUGGGUAUUCAACUCACUGAUAAACAGUCUAUCU
rnacentral:lncRNA from 1 species